rnacentral:lncRNA from 1 species
GUAAAAAAAAAAUCUCCCACAAAUUACUUUGACCUUUAGGAAAUAGAAAUUAUUUUGGGAAUUCAAACAGACCUAAAACUGAAAGGGUUUUGUAUGAUUUAAUAUCAGAUGGUAAGAAAUUUUUUUUAUUUUUAUACAGUGUCUGUAAACUCUUGUAUACUGUAUACCUGCCAAAAAAUUUAAAUGAGCAAACAGGCAACAGACAGCCUUUGAUUGGUUAAUUACUACAUAGAUGAAUCUGUUUUUAUGUGGAAGCAGGGCAUGGGGUGCAAUUGCAGGGGCUGAAGCUUCUGGUGUUUGGAAAGCGGGUCACGUGUUGUUUGGGACAUCAGAGGCGCGAGCAGGAGCAGCGUCGUGAGGGGAGUAAAGGUCAAAGGUCAUCGUGGCAAACAAGAACAGGGAUGGGGGGAGCUACGCCCAACAAGACGCAGCCCGUCUGCUAUCAGUGCCGAACAAGGAGCCCAACCUGCUUCCUCUGCUUCGAUCGGAAGGAACAGAAGUCAGCAGAUAAAAAAUACCGGAAUGUCAGAUGCUCCUGAUGCGGAAGGGAAUUGGCUCUUUCCUCACCUUGAAAAAACAACAUUUUAAACAUGGGGGAAGACAUAAUUCUGAAAAUAGAUCUUUUUUUGCAUAGUGAACAGCUAAGAAAACAUGCAUGAAAUGUGCAUGAGUAAAUCGACCAUAUAUCAUCAUACUUCAUGUGGUGAUACAUUAUCAACACGCUAGUAUUGGUCCAUUGACGUUUGACUGGAAUAAUUAAAUCAAUGUUUCUUUUAUAGAAACAAAGGCAGGACCUGCAAGCAAUUUUUGCCUUUGUUUCAAAUGGCAAGGCUUAUGAUCAAAUUUACAUUUUUAAAAUUUCAUUUUCAAAGAUACCAUGAUCAUGGUCAACUGUACUGCAGAAUUAAAAUACCGUAAUAUCAUGGUCAUCAAUACAGUUGUUAUGCCAAGGACGAGGCAGGAAGCACAAUAUGGCGAGGUUAAUUAUCAAAAACACAAAGUAAAUUGAACAAGGGCCAAAAAAAAUCAUAAAUAAAUAAUACAAUAUAUUUCCA